GGUUUCCUGGGGCACAGCUGAUGAUGUGAAUGUGAAAAGGCUUCAUUUCCCACAUUUAAAGAAUGGAAACAACAUGCAAUUACGUGUUCUUCGAUGAGGUGUUUUCUUUGAAAUGGUAGAACUUGGAAACUCUCCAUAUGAGAAAGGUGGAAAAACUUAAGCAACUGUGCCAAGGAUGGGAUGUGGAGGGCGAGCACACGGAAUGACCCCGGUCACUGGCACCAUAGACUUCAGUUCAAGUACCAACUUCACCGACUUGCGAUAUUAAACUGGCCUUGAUUCAAUCUGAAGGCUGGAAGUCUGAGAUCAGGGUGUCAACGUGAUCAACUUCUGGUGAGGACUGUCUUCCUGGCUUGCCAUGUGUCCUCACAUGGCAGAGAGAGAGAAAGAUUUUUUUCCAAAAUCUAGGAAUAAUCCAAACUUGAAACUGCUGCAGGCUGAAGUGCGUUCUGGGAGUUAAGUGAGCGUCAGCCGAGAGGCUGAAGAUUGAAUGGGCUAUAGCGAGUGAAUUAUCCUCUCAUCCUGAGAAGCGGGCCUCCCAGGGCCGAGAUGAAGCACCGCCGCAGUGCAUUGUGGGAAAGCUGCUGCUGUCCCAGCUCCUCGUGCCCUGCAAACAGAGGACAUCGGUGUGUAGUGCUAUUUGGCACCCUGCUUGAUGAGCACUGAAUCUACUUAAAAUCCAGCCUCACCAAAAUGAACAAUGGGCCUAGGAACCGCAAAAGGGCCGGAGUGUGAGAUAAUGAGGGGAACCUUCAGCUCUUCAUCCUCUCUUGGUUUGUUUCCUGCUGAACCGCGCUUGGUCAGAGAGCUGAGCAGCUUCCUGUGGGAUCCGCAGCAAUGAUUGAUUGUAACUUAGGUUUUUUAAAAAAACAUACUCUUUUUGGAAAUGAAAAAGCAAAGGCUUUCUUAACGGCCUGCAGUAAAACACUGUUCAACAAGCCACCAUGUUGACUUUUUAUAGUUGAAAAUUAAAGGUCCUCUGUAAUCAUUUUUUGCUCUUCAUUGAUUUAAGGACCCAGUCGAAUAAUAAUUUAGACCCAACUUUUCAUCUCUGUAUAGAUUCAUGAUUUGUAAGCUGUUUCUGGCAACUCUCUCUGUAAUACCAAUGAAAUUUCUUUUUAUUCAUCUCACUUUUUGGCUCGACUCCCUCAUAAUUAGCUUCUAGGUCAAAGUAACAAGUAUUUAAGACUAAAUUUCUGUGGAUAUCAACUCCUAAAGGACAUUUCAGACCACAGCACCAGUCACCAUUUCCGUAGCAUUCUUCAUCUACCUUAUAUUUUUGCUGAAGUAAAGUAUUUGGGCAAUGUGUUUUCUAAAAAAUUAAACACCAGAAAGAAGUUUAUUUAUUUGUACUUUAAAUGGCUAUUGUUUUCAGAUUUCAAAAAAGCAGAUUGCUGAAAGUACAGUUACAAAAAACAAAAUAGAAGAAUGUUUAAAGUGUAGUAAAAAAUGUAGUGGUUUUGUUUGAAUUGUUAUUUAAAUCAGAAGAAAAGCCGUUUCUCGAGUUUGUUAUCUGCAAAAUCAGAGUACUUUUUCCUUA